rnacentral:misc_RNA from 1 species
UGGUUAUAAUGCUCCUCAACAGGUACAUAUAACACAAGGAGAUCAUAAAGGAAAUGGUGUUAUAGUCUCGUGGGUCACCACAGAUGAACCAGGUUCAGAUACAGUGCUUUACUGGUCUGAAACUAGUGGGGUCAGAUUACUUGCAGAAGGUUUCCAUGUUAGAUACAAGUACUACAAUUAUACUUCUGGUUACAUCCACCAUUGCACCAUCAAGAAUUUGGAGUUUGAUACUAGAUAUAACUAUGUGGUCGGGAUAGGGAAUACUACACGUAAAUUCUGGUUCGAAACUCCUCCUAAAUCAGGCCCUGAUGUCCCUUAUACUUUUGGCCUUAUAGGG